GUGAAAUCGUACGGCUCUGGCGACGAAAAUGGAGAACCGGCCACGAAAAUCACACAAACAAAGCAGUCAUAUUUUCACGCUAAACAGAGGCUACAGUUCCUAAAUAGAUGAUACCGUAAGGGUGUGGUAUUAAUAAGGAAAAGUAUUAGAACAGUAUACAAUUGCAAGUUGUCUUCACCUCGUCCUCACCGCAAUGGCAACAGUCGUGGGAAAAUACUGAUUUCGGAAGCUGAAUUAAAAUUGUUUACAGACAGAAAUUUGCGAAAGGUGAGUUCAUUUAGAACAUCAUUUUUGUCAGUUGAAAUUUAUAAAUGAGUUGUUUUCCAAAUAACAUACGUUCUGAUUCUCAACCGACACGAUAUCACAUUAUGAACGUAUUCGGCAAUGCGAGAGAACAAGGUGAUAACGUCGAGGUAUGAAAGUGUCGAUUUGGAAUUUUUUUGUGCCCGAUUUUCUUUCAGUCCGUAAACAACGCGAUUUAUCGUGAUGAUAUUAAUUCAUGGCUUUUUUAGUCGAAUGAGAGCCCUAUAAUGCCUGAUGAGCGAUUCCAUUCAAAAUAACAUUGAUAAAAGCUUACUUAGCAUAACUUAGCUAACUGUCAUAAACUCGCCUUUUUUGCCCCGUGACACAAGGUUUAUCUGAAUCGUAUUAAUUUAAUAAGAGAAUUUCUUCACUAAACUUCAAUUGAGCAGAUCGUGCUGUCUCAUGCAGGGUACACCAUGUUUUUGUUUCUAUAAACUCCGUGUCACCUUUGCCUGUAGUUCUAAACAAACAGACACGUCAUUUACCACAGCAAAAAAAUAACUCAGGUCGUUGCUGCCAGAAGUAUUCAAUUCAUCCUAAAAAUAUAUCAACUUUUAUCUGCAUGACAAUUUUUGUGCCCACAACAUCGAUUCAUUCUAAUAGAGCCAGCACUGACUGAAAUGCACUUAGCUUUCUCAGACGAAAUCGAUCCACUUUUUGAGAAAAAGGUGAGAUAAAGACAGACGUCUAAGUCAGAAUGCGUUCUUGAUGUGAUGUUAAAAUCUCCUAACUGAUUUUCAACUCAACGUAUUCCAUUUAGGAAGGUGAAUUCCUUCUUUGUUGUCACGAAUCAAACGUAAGACCUGUAAUUACUUCAAUUUCCUUGCGUUUGAUUGUUAAAUUUCCUACCAUCAUUUCACACAAUUCAUUCUCAAUUCAGUUUCACGAUAUGUCUCCUUGAAAAAAGUCCUUAACGGUCUUGUAGAGUGCAUUCAGAUACUAACUUUAGCAAUGAAGAGAGUAAGUUUCUAAAGAAACUGUGGUGCUGCGUCAGUGGGAGAGUAUA